rnacentral:lncRNA from 1 species
GGUGGACGUCACAUGUGCAGCUCAGCUGUUGUGCUGAGAAUUGCUGACACGAGCAGUUCCAACCAGGAAAGCAGAGCUGCUUCCCACGGACAGAUUUUGGGGGUGGGUAGCAGGGACCCUCCUGACGGCUUGCUUCUGGGAUGUAGGAUGCAUUACGGAAAUCAUGAGCCUGUGUCCAGGCGUGGUCUCCUUUUCAUAGACCUGGGUACUGUGGCAACAUCCACCCCACCCCCCCCCCGCCCCCGCCGCAAGGCUGCCUUUUGGCUGCUGGCUGUGCCAUGGAAUGGAGCAUAUGUAUUUCUGCAUAUUUCCACUUUUGUGGUUUCAGUUCCAGGCUUUCAAAUUUUUUUUUCUUUUUUUCAGGAGAGAUCAGAGACAUACAGACUGUACUUCCUUCUGCGACACAGAAUUCGCACCUACUUGCUGAAUGGAAAACUUCCGUACAGACAGAAUAAGAUCAACAAACCAUAGGAGAAACAGAUGAAUUAUACCGUCAAAAACAAGUGAUGGCAGAAACAAAACGCCAUGGACUCAAUUCCACGAUACAGCAGCUGCAGGCUUUCUAAUACUGGAGGAGUAGCAUAAAUUUGAUCCUUUAAAGCCACUUAAUCCCCCUCAACUGCAAUCCCAAUUCCUGCUUUGCUGUUUUGUUGUGUUUUAUCAUUCCAUUGUCCUAAAUUGCUUCAGGGAACUAGAAUGUAGCCUGGAUGCUUCAUCCAAUGCAACUAUAUUCAUCUUCUGAUGACCUUCUCAAUAAAUAAACAUUUUCGUUUUGGAUAAGGGUUCCA